UGUGGGGCAAGUGUUAAAUUACAGCUGUGU
rnacentral:piRNA from 1 species